rnacentral:lncRNA from 1 species
CUUUUAUUUCUCAACUUGUUCAACUCCAAAGAAAGGAAAAGAAUACCGAUUCACUGGAGCCUCCUUUGAGACCUCAGCAGUCGUUUGUUUAAUAUCUGGUUGGAUUUGACUAGUGACUGCGUAUUUUUUAAAGCUGUUUGCAUCUAUGUUCACAAGUGAGAUCACCCGGAAUUAUAAAGAGAAAUGCAAGCUGCAGAAAAAUGUCAGUACACUGCCAUUUGUGUGGGUGAGGAAGAAAGAAUGGAAACCAGCUGCCAUGUUGUGAAUUGCGCUAUGGAAAGACCCAUGUGGCACAGAACCGAGGUCUCUGGCCAGCAGCCCUCAAGGAAUCCUGCCAACAGCCAUGAGAGUAAGCUUGGAAGAGGAUCUUCCCUCAGUAGACCCUUGAGAAAAGGCCACAGACCUGGCUAACUCCUAGAUAGCAGCCUGUAAGAGAACCUGAGCUAGAAGCACUCAGCUAAGCCAUGUCUGGAUUCUUGACCUGCAGAAACUGUGAGAUAAUAAAUGUUCCUUAUUUUAAGCCACUAAGUUUUGAAGUAAUUUGUAAUACAGCAAUGGAAAACUCAUACAGUAACCAAUCAAAAAUGCCUUUCAGAAUCCUACAUUUUUUUGAAAAAUCUUUUCCUUCUUGCCCUAUAUAUGUCCUUCACGCUACAAGUCACUUUUUGGCCUUUAUUGUUCUUUAAAAGUCUACUAUUUUUCAGGCAAUAUGCUGGUCUAGAGAAUCAUUAUCACGAUUCCCA